UGGAAUGUAAUGAAGUAUGUAU
rnacentral:miRNA from 2 species